UACGUAGGUGGCAAGCGUUGUCCGGAAUUAUUGGGCGUAAAGCGCGCGCAGGUGGUUUCUUAAGUCUGAUGUGAAAGCCCACGGCUCAACCGUGGAGGGUCAUUGGAAACUGGGGAACUUGAGUGCAGAAGAGGAAAGUGGAAUUCCAAGUGUAGCGGUGAAAUGCGUAGAUAUCGGGAGGAACACCAGUGGCGAAGGCGGCUCUCUGGACCGGUUCUGACGCUCAGGCGCGAAAGCGUGGGGAGCGAUCCGG
rnacentral:rRNA from 1 species